rnacentral:rRNA from 1 species
UACGGGGGGAGCAAGCGUUGUUCGGAUUUACUGGGCGUAAAGGGCGCGUAGGCGGCGUGGCAAGUCACUUGUGAAAUCUCCGGGCUUAACUCGGAACGGUCAAGUGAUACUGCUGUGCUAGAGUGCGGAAGGGGCAACUGGAAUUCUUGGUGUAGCGGUGAAAUGCGUAGAUAUCAAGAGGAACCCCUGCGGCGAAGGCGGGUUGCUGGGCCGACACUGACGCUGAGGCGCGAAAGCUAGGGGAGCGAACGGG